GGGCCCGCACAAGCGGUGGAGCAUGUGGUUUAAUUCGAUGAUACGCGAGGAACCUUACCAGGGCUUAAAUGUAGUGGGACAGGUCUAGAGAUAGCUAUUUCUUCGGACCACUUACAAGGUGCUGCAUGGUUGUCGUCAGCUCGUGCCGUGAGGUGUCAGGUUAAGUCCUAUAACGAGCGCAACCCCUGUCGUUAGUUACCAGCAAGUAAUGUUGGGUACUCUAGCGAGACUGCCGGUGCAAACCGCGAGGAAGGUGGGGAUGACGUCAAAUCAUCACGGCCCUUACGUCCUGGGCCACACACGUGCUACAAUGGCCGGUACAGAGAGCAGCCACUACGCGAGUAGGAGCGAAUCUUCAAAACCGGUCUCAGUUCGGAUCGGGGUCUGCAACUCGGCCCCGUGAAGCUGGAAUC
rnacentral:rRNA from 1 species